GCCGCCGAGGACGCAACCCGGCCGUAGUGUGCUCGCUAACUCCAUUACCUGGAUUGUUUUCACCGCCUGUCAUGAUUAUCUCUCAAACCCAAGUUUCUCAGUUGAUAUAACCGCUUACCAAAAAGUGCAAUAUUAAACGCGGCUUGUUGUGUUUACUAUGAGUGUGUACCUUGUAAGGUGCAGUGUUUAUGUGUGACAAGUGCAUGCUUAUACCUAACAACUGUUCAGAGUCUGGGGUAAAGAGCGAGGCAAGCAGGCAGCAGAAGUGGCAGCAGAAGUAAGCAGUAGAAGGACCAUCAUGGCCUUAUUCCACCACUGACUGCUUACUGCCACUCCCUUAACACCCACACGCGAGGUAACAGUGAUGACGGACCAUGGGAAGACAGUAACACCCUAGGCAACACCUGCACCACGCUGACACCACCUACCAUUUCUCUAGACCUAGCGCUAUGAUGGGUGGCGGGGAGUGAGGCGAGGCUCGGCUGUGUCCCUGCCCCGCCCCGCACCUCCCC